rnacentral:rRNA from 1 species
ACAAACCGGAGGAAGGUGGGGAUGACGUCAAGUCAUCAUGGCCCUUACGGCCUGGGCUACACACGUGCUACAAUGGUCGGUACAAAGGGUUGCCAAGCCGCGAGGUGGAGCUAAUCCCAUAAAACCGAUCGUAGUCCGGAUCGCAGUCUGCAACUCGACUGCGUGAAGUCGGAAUCGCUAGUAACCGCAGAUCAGCUACGUUGCGGUGAAUACGUUCCCGGGCCUU